rnacentral:rRNA from 1 species
GUGGUCAAGCUACAAAGGGCUGAUGGUGGAUACCUAGGCACACAGAGGCGAAGAAGGACGUGGUUACCGACGAUAUGCCCCGGGGAGCUGGAAGCAAGCAUUGAUCCGGGGGUUUCCGAAUGGGGCAACCCUAAAGAUGGCUGUCUGAAUCCAUAGGACAGCACAAGCGAACGCAGCGAACUGAAACAUCUUAGUAGCUGUAGGAGAAGAAAGAAAACUCGAUUCCCCUAGUAGCGGCGAGCGAAGCGGGAAGAGCCUAAACCAGAAGUUUUAACUUCUGGGGUUGUGGGACAGCGAUAUGGAAUCUGGCCGCUAGACGAAGCAGCUGAAUACUGCACCAGAGGAGGUGAAAGUCCUGUAGUCGAAAGCGUAAGGAUACUAGCUGGAUCCCGAGUAGCCUGGAGCACGUGGAAUUCCGGGUGAAUCAGCGAGGACCACCUCGUAAGGCUAAAUACUCCUGUGUGACCGAUAGCGAAACAGUACCGCGAGGGAACGGUGAAAAGAACCCCGGGAGGGGAGUGAAAUAGAACAUGAAACCAUCAGCUUACAAGCAAUCGAAGCCCGAUUAAACGGGUGACGGUGUGCCUGUUGAAGAAUGAGCCGGCGACUUAUAGGCACUGGUAGGUUAAGACGGGAAUGUCGAAGCCAAAGCGAAAGCGAGUCUGAAUAGGGCGUUAAUCAGUGGUUAUAGACCCGAACCCGGGUGAUCUAACCAUGGCCAGGAUGAAGCUUGGGUAAAGCCAAGUGGAGGUCCGAACCGACCAAUGUUGAAAAAUUGGCGGAUGAGCUGUGGUUAGGGGUGAAAUGCCAAUCGAACCCGGAGCUAGCUGGUUCUCCCCGAAAUGUGUUGAGGCGCAGCGGUCAUGAUUAUAGUCUGGGGGUAAAGCACUGAUUCGGUGCGGGCUGCGAGAGCGGUACCAAAUCGAGUCAAACUCUGAAUACCAGAUGAACACAUGGCUAGUGAGACGGUGGGGGAUAAGCUUCAUCGUCAAGAGGGAAACAGCCCAGACCACCAGCUAAGGUCCCCAAAUCACAGUUCAGUGAUAAAGGAGGUGGGAGUGCAUAGACAACCAGGAGGUUUGCCUAGAAGCAGCCAUCCUUAAAAGAGUGCGUAAUAGCUCACUGGUCAAGCGCUCCUGCGCCGAAAAUGAACGGGGCUAAACUGUGUACCGAAGCUGUGGGAUAUAUCUAUCGAUGUAUCGGUAGGGGAGCGUUCCGUGGUAGUUAGAAGCAUUAGCGAGAGCAGGUGUGGACGAAACGGAAGUGAGAAUGUCGGCUUGAGUAGCGCAAACAUUGGUGAGAAUCCAAUGCCCCGAAAUCCUAAGGGUUCCUCCGGAAGGCUCGUCCGCGGAGGGUUAGUCGGGACCUAAGGCGAGGCCGAAUGGCGUAGUCGAUGGACAACCGGUCAACAUUCCGGUACCGAUUUUGGAUUGUGCAGAGGGACGGAGAAGGCUAGCACAGCCGCAUGUUGGUUAGCGGUUUAAGCAUCCGAGGCGAUGAGAGACGGUGAAAACGUCUUGAGCGAAGGUGUGAGUACGAGAGUCUACGGACUCGAAGUGUGUGAUGUCAAGCUUCCAAGAAAAGCUCUAACCACGUUAAUCCAAAAUUGCCCGUACUCGAAACCGACACAGGUGGGAUGGUUGAGAAUACUCAGGGGCGCGAGAUAACUCUCUCUAAGGAACUCGGCAAAAUGGCCCCGUAACUUCGGAAGAAGGGGUGCCAGCGAGAGCUGGUCGCAGUGAAGAGGCCCAGGCGACUGUUUACCAAAAACACAGGUCUCCGCGAAGUCGUAAGACGAUGUAUGGGGGCUGACGCCUGCCCAGUGCCGGAAGGUUAAGGAAGUCGGUUAGGGGAAACCCAACGCUGGCGACCGAAGCCCCGGUGAACGGCGGCCGUAACUAUAACGGUCCUAAGGUAGCGAAAUUCCUUGUCGGGUAAGUUCCGACCCGCACGAAAGGCGUAACGAUCUGGGCGCUGUCUCGGAGAGAGGCUCGGCGAAAUAGGAUUGUCUGUGAAGAUACGGACUACCUGCACCUGGACAGAAAGACCCUAUGAAGCUUUACUGUAGCCUGGAAUUGGGUUCGGGCUUUGACUGCGCAGGAUAGGUGGGAGACUAUGAGACAUCCCUUGUGGGGGAUGUGGAGUCAUCAGUGAGAUACCACUCUGUCAAGGCUAGAAUUCUAACUCAUUGCCGUGAUCCGGCAUGGGAACAGUUUCAGGUGGGCAGUUUGACUGGGGCG